AGGGUUCGAUUCUGGCUCAGGAUGAAUGCUGGCGGCAUGCCUAAUACAUGCAAGUCGAGCGGUAACAGGACUAGCUUGCUAGUUGCUGACGAGCGGCGGACGGCUGAGUAACGCAUGGGAACGCACCCCAAACUGAGGGAUAACUAGUCGAAAGAUUAGCUAAUACCGCAUGUGAUCUUCGGAUUAAAGCCUUCGGGCGGUUUGGGAGCGGCCUGUGUACGAUUAGAUAGUUGGUGAGGUAAUGGCUCACCAAGUCGACGAUCGUUAGAUGGUUUGAGAGGAUGAUCAUCCAGACUGGAACUGAGACACGGUCCAGACUCCUACGGGAGGCAGCAGUAGGGAAUCUUUCACAAUGGGCGAAAGCCUGAUGGAGCAAUGCCGCGUGCAGGACGAAGGCCUUCGGGUUGUAAACUGCUUUUAUAAGCGAGGAAUAUGACGGUAACUUAUGAAUAAGGAUCGGCUAACUACGUGCCAGCCGCGGC
rnacentral:rRNA from 1 species